rnacentral:lncRNA from 1 species
UCAAUGUUAGUAAAACAUCAGAUGCUACGAGAUGAGCAACUGUCCCUCAUUAUGUGUCUCCAUAUGAUGCAUAUCAAAUAUCUUAAGCCAUCAAUUCUUUAGAACCCUAGGGAAAUCCACUCUUUUUAUAAGCACCAUAUACUUGUGCCAACAAAGAUGAGAACUGAAUACACACGUACGCAACCAAUGACAGUAGUCCCAAAUUAGACCACACAUUGUUCCUAUUAACUAUUUAUAGACGGAAAAACAUCUUUUUAGUUUCGGCAAAGGGUCAAAAAUAUCCCUCUACCAUGAAAAGGAUCAUAUAUACCCUCCAUUAUACUUCCGGUCUAUUAUAGCCCCCGAGGUUAUAAAAUUGGUGCAAAAAUACUCCUCCGGCAUGGCCUUCCACCAUGGCAGUAUCUCCCACCCACCCCAUUUUUGCCCCACCUCUCAUUUCUUCUUCCACCAUCUCCCACCGUUCCUCCCACCCCAGCCCAAACCCACCGUGCCAUCUUCACCCAAUUAUUUUUUGAGUUUUUUUGUUGUAUUCCAAAUUGUAGAUAACUGAAGCUGCAACAGUAGUAAUCAACCCACAGUCAAGAACUCUAACAAUCCAAGGUAAAAAUUCAUUAUCCACAUUUACCUUGGUAAUUAUUGGACAAAACAGAGAAAUUGGUAACAUUCUUAACAUAAGUAUAAGGGCCUCUUUAGUCUUUACUAUCGCUGACAAAGGAGAUGCUAACAAGAGUUUCAAAUUAUCAUUUGUAGAGUUCAAAUAGUACAAGCACCAACUUGCAUUUUCAUGGGUUAGUAGUGUUACCAAAUUGAAUAAACUUAAACAGAUUAUUAUGGGAUUUUCUUUUAUAAAAUUCUCUUUAGUUAUAUUUAAAAAGAAAAAAGGAAUCCGUUAGAACCACUGCUUUGGAAUUGGGUGUGCUUGAAAAAUAUUUAGAACUGACAUAUGAAAGCUUAAUCCCUCCCAAAGUGCACAUUCAUUAAUGAAUUCUAGCACUUCUAAAUCACAUUCUCAAUUUUGGGUCACGGAUGGGGAGGAUAAAAAUUGUGAUGAAGAUGAUUAUGGUGCUAUCUGUUAAAGAAGAGUUGGGCUACUGUGAUGAAAGGAAGAAAAAUAAUUUUGUUAAUAGUGGUAAAACGGGGGAUAAAAAAGAUUGUGCUGAAGGUGAUUGUUAAUGGAGGUGGUGAGUGGAAAACAUAGGUAGGGGGGGGGGAGGGGGGGGGAAUGAAAGAAUCGUGGUUUGAAGGUCAAGAAUGGUGACCAGAUGAUGGUGGAAAAAUAUGAGUGGUGAAAGAGCUGAGGUGGUGGCGACAGUGGUUAGGUGGGAGGGGGGUGAAAGAAAAAAGAAUGAAAGGAGGGGCUAAAAUGGGUUGGAGACUUGGAGUGCUGAGGUGGCAUUCCACAUUUGGUCCAUCUCACCAAAAUGUCAUGCCAAGUAGGAUGGUGCUGCCAUGGUGGAAAGCCCUAACGGAAGAGGGGUAUUUUUGUACCAGUUUUAUAAUGUCGAGGGCUAUAAUGGUAUAAUUGAGGGUAUAAAUGAUCCUUUUCACAUAGUAAAGGGGCAUUUUUGACCCUUUUCCGUUUUAGUUUUAAAUGAGUAACCUACCACUGAGAAGUACAGACGAUAUCUUUGUUCACAUUGUCUUCCUAAUGGCUACUUAGAUUCAAGAAAAUUUUGUUACCAUAUAUACUUGUGACUUGUGAGACCUUAAUUAUUAUCCCAUAUUUUUUCGACAUUUUAUGAUUAUAUAAAUCUUCUGCAACUAACUUUCAGCAUAGUUCCUUCGACUUUUGUGCAGUGCAUCCAACUAACAAAUAUGCUCCACUGUUAGGCCCCCCUAAUGUCAUUAUAACAAUCAUACCUUAUAAGAUAUGGACUAUAAUAGGUUAUGGUUGGUAUUUCUACUGUUGCUCAUUUCAAAAAAUAUUGUAAACAUUUUUUUUAACAAGAUAACAGGUAUGUUAUUAACAAUGAAACCAGUCCUUAAUACAAAGACUGUGGUAAGAGGAACCCGAGCCACACGACCCCAAUAUUAUUGUAAACAUUUAAGGCAGCAAAAUUCCCAUAACAGAGUUUUAAAUAAUACUCCCUCCAGUCCAUAAUAAGUGACUUUUUAUCUUUGGCACACUCCUUAAGAAAAUACGAACUUCUAGAGAAAAAAAAGAUA